UACGGAGGGUGCGAGCGUUGUUCGGAAUCACUGGGCGUAAAGGGCGUGUAGGCGGUCCGCUAAGUCUGAUGUGAAAGCCCGGGGCUCACCCCCCGGAAGGGCAUCGGAAACUGACGGACUCGAGUCCCGAAGAGGAGGGUGGAAUUCCUGGGUGUAGCGGUGAAAUGCGUAGAUAUCAGGAGGAACACCGGUGGCGAAGGCGGCCCUCUGGACGGUGACUGACGCUGGAGACGCGAAAGCGUGGGGAGCAAACAGG
rnacentral:rRNA from 1 species